CUGAAAACAUCAGUUCUCAUUCAAUCACCAAAGUUAAGCAUUGUCAAGCCUGGUCAGUACUUAAAUGGGGGAUUGCAUGGGAACACCAACUACUG